GAUGUUAUAGUUUAUAGAAAAUUUUAAAUUGCAAAUUUAAAGAAAGAUUAUUCUUAACAUUU
rnacentral:tRNA from 1 species